rnacentral:tRNA from 1 species
AUUUAUAUAGUUUAAAAUAAAACCUUACAUUUUCAUUGUAAAAAUAAAAUACUACUAUUUUUAUAAAUU